rnacentral:rRNA from 1 species
UACGUAGGGGGCUAGCGUUGUCCGGAAUCAUUGGGCGUAAAGAGCGUGUAGGCGGUCCGGUAAGUCCGCUGUGAAAGUCGGGGGCUCAACCCUCGAAUGCCGGUGGAUACUGUCGGGCUAGAGUGCGGAAGAGGCGAGUGGAAUUCCUGGUGUAGCGGUGAAAUGCGCAGAUAUACAGGGAGGAACCACCUAUUGCGAAGGCAGCUCGCUGGGACGUAACUGACGCUGGAGACGCGAAAGCGUGGGGAGCAAACAGG